GAAAAGUUAGUUAAUAAAUAACAUAAAAUUGUCAAUUUUAAGUUACUGCCUAGUUAGUACUUUUUG
rnacentral:tRNA from 1 species